rnacentral:lncRNA from 1 species
AGAGUGUCAAGUUCCACUGUGAGAUCUAUUUGACACCUUCCCUUCAAAGUGUGCUACAGGGUUUAACCAAUCCAAGGAUUUGCAUGCCUCAGUGGUAAUGUAAAUUGUCAGAUUACUAUACCUGUGUUCGACUAAAAGGAAAAUAAAGCAGUGAAGCCGCAGCCUUGCCCCAGUUAAGAAAGGUGCACUUACAUCCACAGUCUUCAGAGGCUCGUCUUCAGCCCAGUCCUGGGGCAGCUCCACCACCAUGUCCUCUUGAGGAACUGGAGGGACACAGAACAGCACAGGGACACAGGAAUCCAGCAUCAGGGCGACUGUCCAAACAGAGCUGGCAAGAGAUUGCCGCCUUCAUCAACUAGAUUAUUUUCAUCAGAAGG